rnacentral:piRNA from 1 species
UGGAAGGACCAGAAGUUCCCUAAGGCGC